rnacentral:siRNA from 1 species
GGGUUCGCUUCUGCUUACGACUA